AGAAAAGCGUUGAACUAAUAAAGUAGCCGACUGCAGCGGGACAAUCAGAGACUUAGUGGAUGGUGCGAACUAAGCCCAAGCAAGCUGGCGAAUUACAGUUAGGGAGCUGACAUGUCAAUGUCCGGCACAUGCCGUUAAGGAUUGAGUGAGCAGAUGAAUUCGUCUGUUAAUCAGGGUGGUACCGCGGAACUUCCGUCCCUUUU
rnacentral:ncRNA from 1 species